rnacentral:tRNA from 2 species
GUCAGGAUAGCUCAGUUGGUAGAGCAGAGACU